GUGUCAGCCGCCGCGGUAAUACGGAGGGUGCAAGCGUUAAUCGGAAUUACUGGGCGUAAAGCGCGCGUAGGUGGCUUGAUAAGCCGGUUGUGAAAGCCCCGGGCUCAACCUGGGAACGGCAUCCGGAACUGUCAGGCUAGAGUGCAGGAGAGGAAGGUAGAAUUCCCGGUGUAGCGGUGAAAUGCGUAGAGAUCGGGAGGAAUACCAGUGGCGAAGGCGGCCUUCUGGACUGACACUGACACUGAGGUGCGGAAGCGUGGGUAGCAAACAGGAUUAGAUACCCUGGUAGUCCACGCCGUAAACGAUGUCGACCAGCCGUUGGGUGCCUAGAGCACUUUGUGGCGAAGUUAACGCGAUAAGUCGACCGCCUGGGGAGUACGGCCGCAAGGUUAAAACUCAAAUGAAUUGACGGGGGCCCGCACAAGCGGUGGAGCAUGUGGUUUAAUUCGAUGCAACGCGAAGAACCUUACCUACCCUUGACAUCUACAGAAGCCGGAAGAGAUUCUGGUGUGCCUUCGGGAACUGUAAGACAGGUGCUGCAUGGCUGUCGUCAGCUCGUGUUGUGAAAUGUUGGGUUAAGUCCCGUAACGAGCGCAACCCUUGUCCUUAUUUGCCAGCGAGUAAUGUCGGGAACUCUAAGGAGACUGCCGGUGACAAACCGGAGGAAGGUGGGGACGACGUCAAGUCAUCAUGGCCCUUACGGGUAGGGCUACACACGUGCUACAAUGGCCGGUACAAAGGGCUGCGAGCUCGCGAGAGUCAGCGAAUCCCUUAAAGCCGGUCUCAGUCCGGAUCGGAGUCUGCAACUCGACUCCGUGAAGUCGGAAUCGCUAGUAAUCGUGAAUCAGAAUGUCACGGUGAAUACGUUCCCGGGCCUUGCACACACCGCCCGUC
rnacentral:rRNA from 1 species